rnacentral:lncRNA from 1 species
UGAUCUGCCCGCCUCAGCCUCCCAAAGUGUUGGGAUUACAGGCAUGUAAUCCCGUGCCUGGCCAGCAAAAUAUUUUUAAAAACCAUUGCUCCAGCUCCCACGAGACAAUUCUGUAAUACACAAUACAAAAGAAAGUAACAGAGGGCAUGAUAUUAGAGAGGGUAUUUAUUUUACAAAAUUUCUUUUUCAGUUAUAUAGAUAUAUACGUGUAUGUAUGUAUUGAGUCACUAUAUGAAAUGUACUUCUUAUUGUGGGUGGUAGCCCAAAAGUUUGAAAACCACUGACUUGCUCUCUACCUGUGGCCUGAAAUGUUACAGAACAGUACGAUUGUCUAAACUGCAGCCAGGAAUGUGAGGAGAAGAAGGAGAGUCCUUAAUAACCUCCGCAACUAGAGCUAUGUAGGCAGGCAAUAUAUCUGUAGAGUGAUUCCUGGGCUUCCUGGCAAGCAGUGAAGUGCUUGUCUACAGGACUGCUUGCAGAGCCAAGGCAGACAACAGAGCUGGCCAAGCCAGGGUAUGUAUCUUUCCAGCCUGUUUCCAUGGCCAACUCCUCAAGGUAUCUAAUUAAAGGCCACGCAGACACAGGAGACAAGAGCCUUUGGAGAAAGAGGAGCUUGAAGAGGUUAAACAUUUUGAACUGCUUGCUACCUUCGGCUUUGGCCUAAAGGAACCCUGAGGGAUGCUUUGCAAAGAACCUGGCCUCCGGAAUCAAAAGUACAGAGACAAUCUACUGGAAUGUGUGGCUGCUUUAGUAUUUGGAGAAUAAUAAUAAGAAAAGCCAGAUGUCUUUAAAAAGCAGGUAAUUUGCUUUUCAAAAAAAUGUUUGCUCUUCUCAUGUUUUAAAUUGUUCAGCUCUUGUCUUCUAUAUUUAGGUUGUUUUGUUCUCUAAAUGUUUAGCACUUAGAGAAUGUUAUAUUCCUUUGACUAGAUUUUCGCUUAGUUUUUAUCUUCCUUUAAAAUGUUUCAGCUACCUGGCUUACUCUUUCUAUUCCAUUUAAUUUUUUCCUCCAUUGUUUUCACUUGAAAACAUUGUUGUUUCCUUUUCUCCUUAAGCUUUAUUCGCAAC